rnacentral:rRNA from 1 species
AUGAUUUUUUAAAUUGCUGUGGUAUUUUGACUAUACAAAGGUAUUGUAAUAAGACUUUAAUUGAGUGCUAAAAGAAUGGACUUUCAAAAAAAUACUUUCUUGAAUUUAAUAAUUGAAUUUAUUUUUAUUUGUGAAGAAACAAUAAUUAACAUUAAGGACAAGAAGACCCUAAGAAUUUUUGAGUUUAACUAAAAAAGUUUUUUUAUUUAAAUUCUUAAUUGGGGCGAUUAAAAAAUAUUUUUAACUUUUUUUUUAAAAAAAAAUGACCCAUUAAUAAUGAUUAAUUGUAUUAAAUACUCUAGGGAUAACAGCGUAAUAAUUUUAGAUAGAUCGUAUAGAAAAAAUAGUUUGCGACCUCGAUGUUGGAUUAGGAUUUCUAUUUAAUGCAGAAGUUAAAAAUAGAAAGUUUGUUCAACUUUUAAAAUCCUACUG